ensembl:lncRNA
GGCAAGUCCGGGCAGCGGGCGCACGCAGGCGUGACGUCACUCGACGCGACGCGUAGCGUACCGGGUGACCGUCACGUGACCUGGCGAGGCGGCGGUACUGGGCUGAGGGAAUAUCACAGCAGUGUGAGUCUGACUGCGUCAGCGGAAGAGCUGCCUUCAUGGAGGUGCAGGUGCAGUCGGCCGUUGUGGAAUUCAUCCUGAACCACACUCUUCCACUCCAAAUCCAGCCCAGUCAUUGGAGAUGGAGGAGUCUCUAUAGGUUAAUCAGCAGGGCUGUUCAGCUGCAUGGCAAAGACUGCGUGGGCCCUGCAGCUGUUGCCCAGUUCUCUGCCUGCAUUGCUGAUUCGUGACUUUAGGAUGCGGAAUUAACUGCAACGUGUUUGUGCCCAGCCCUGGAACCUACAGCUUUCCUUGAGUAACUGCUAAGACCAUAAGUGCACCUGUUCCAGUGGAAACAAACAGAGUUGCACCAGGAAGAAAGUUUCCUCUGCGUGUUAGAUGAAUAAAUGUUCAGAGCACAAGCAAUUAUUAUUCCAAAGGAGCACUAAGUUUGUUCCAUCUGCUUUGAUACCCUGACCUUCCAAUGAGAUUUGCACAGUCACCGCAGUUAUUACCACUGGUGGAGUAUAGAUAGCUGCUUUUCCGGAGUAUUUGCUGCUUCCCAUUUUAUACGAGCAUUGCUCUUCUUUGGAUAGCACAGUUGCUGUAAGUCCAGCUUUUGUUCCCACUGGAAGGCAGUUUUUAUGUCAGCAGGAUGCAGGGGUUAGCUUGGCUGAGCAGGAACAGCCCACAGCAGGCUGAGCUCUGCCAGGAGAAAAUCAACAUGCAAACCACCUGAGCC